rnacentral:rRNA from 1 species
UACGGAGGGUGCAAACGUUGCUCGGAAUUAUUGGGCGUAAAGCGCACGUAGGCGGACUGUCAAGUCGGAUGUGAAAUCCCUCGGCUUAACCGAGGACGUGCAUUCGAAACUGUCAGUCUUGAGUACGAAAGAGGAUCGCGGAAUUCCCGGUGUAGAGGUGAAAUUCGUAGAUAUCGGGAGGAACACCAGUGGCGAAGGCGGCGAUCUGGGUCGAUACUGACGCUGAGGUGCGAAAGCGUGGGGAACAAACAGG